rnacentral:misc_RNA from 1 species
AUUUUAAUAACACAAUGGGUUGUGAGGGGUUGGCCUAGUUUGGAGUUGGACUAUGAAAUUUGUGACUGUGUUUAGGGGAUCGCCCUCCGAAUAUUAGCAUGACAACAAAUGACUCGCUGGGAACAUCCUUUUCUGUAGACAGUUCUCUCAGUGCUUCACGAAGUGAGCAGGUGCCCCAUGAAAGCGAGUUUGAGGAGGUUAUAGAUUUAAACAAUAGGAACAAACAAUUGGCCAAUACUGAAGACUUGCUGAAUUUGAAUACAGUGGAGAAUUUAGAUAAUCGGGACGCUGGAGCCGACAUCAUACCUAAACCAAUCAUCGCCUUCGAAGACAAUGCAACCAGACGACAAGAAGUCUCAGACUACUUGUCCUGAGAAUGCAGUGGUAACCAAUGGGGUGACCAUGGGGACAGAUGAUUCCACCAAUCAUCAGAAUGGAUCGGAGGAUGGGUCGCCCACUGGGGUUUCCUCGUCCUCGGUCAUCUUAAGUCAUCAUGUUGUGACAUCAUCAGCAGGAUCCACUCCCGGCUCGCGCGCCUCCACCCCGAUGGACGCUUUGUGGCAACAGCUGGAGAAGACCAUGGUGUCCAGUAUUGACCGGGUGCGGUCGACCCUGGAGGAUCAUGGUGUGGGGGAGGGGGAUGAGGACAGUGAGUCUGAGGAGGGACACAUAUGGAGGAUGGUUCAGGGGGAUUCCCCGUACACCAUCGAAUUUGUCUGAUCCAUUUCUUGUUUUAGAUAGGCUAUCAAAUAAUGUGUACAAAAACUUUGACGAUAAUUCAUUGUAGGUAUGUCAAUGAGAUAAUACAUGUAUAAGAAAUGUGCUAUAAUUUAGUCUUGAGGUUGGAAUCUCAUUAAAAGUUUCCAUGUAUUUCUGUAUCUAAACUGCAGAUAAAAAUGUUUUGGCAAGAGAGUACACCAUUCAGAUUCCAUUUGAUCCCCAUUGUGAUCCCCAGCCAUCAAAUAAUAUAUAUGUAGAUUCACAAUGUAUUUAUUUAUGUCACUCAGUCACAUGACUGUCAUGUGAUCUGUGAAUGGCUUCAGUUGAUGGUAUGGGCUACUGGUUUUGUGAUUUUUUUCCUUCCCAAGUUCAUUGAGCAUUUGCUUAAAUUUGAAUAGUGCAUAUUUAUGGUAUUUUUAAGGUUACUGUUACUAUUAAAUGCAUUGGUUACUUUUUAUGAUUUUUUUUUUACAAUUAUUUUUAAUUUACAUUUAAUGACAUAUUUUUUUCCAAUGUUGAACAUGUGGAACAAUAUUGAAACUGGUGUAUUCUUUCUGAGAUUAUAUUUCUCAUUAAGUGCUCAUCUUGUGUAAUGAAAUGACUUGUUUUCUGGAAUAAUUUAGAAAGGAGUUAUACAUGUACAUUUGGUAAAAGUUGUGAUAUUUCCUCAUUAUAACAGUUAUAAAGUUGUAUGAUUAUAUAGUGGUACCCUCAACAAUAUUGACAGUAUUUAUUACAACAAAUAUCCAUAUCUAGUCUUUUUUACCCAUUGAGUAUGCAAAUAACAAAUGUAAUUGCUUCCCUCUAUAGAUUGGGAGCCUGCCAGUUAACGACCUCAGGAUAUAGAAUUAAUUAAUUACUCUGAAUAAACACAACCCCGUUAGUGAUGUUUUAUGUACUAGUUUUACUGUGGGCUACUAUGUUCUGUCGAUUAAGUAACUGAUGUGAUGUGAUGAACGUAAGAAUGUAACUGUCCUCUUCAAACCUUGUGUUCUAUAGAUCCAAUACGUCUGUAUUAUUUAUCUGUGUACAUACAAUUCCAGCAGUUCUUCCCCUGUUUACAUUCAGUUUGACGGUUUCCCUAUAAAAUGAGGUCCCAGUGAUUCAUUACCAGGAGGAUGGAGGCAGAUCUAGACUCCACUAGGUCUUCUCCCUAACCCUGUACAGCAUGAUCACUCCAUCUCAUAACCAGCUUAUACUCUGUCAGUAUUCCCUCCCUUUUGUGCGAAAGUCAUUUCCUUUUCAUUUAUUAUCCCUUUCAACUUCCCAAUAAGCUUAUUGGCCAUGUUUAUAAUGUGUCCCUAUACAUUUUGGAUUAUGUCUGCCUGACAAGAUUUGAAAAAUACCUUACACAAUUAAUAAAUCUUGAAUAAUACAAUUAUUAUCCUUACUAGCAGAAUACCAAGAUUAAAAUAUAAUCCUAUCGACAAUAUUUCUAGUAACAACUAAUGUCAAGAGAGAUAACUCUGUCGUGAUUAGCAGGUGCGCGUUGUGGGACACAUUAUAAAAGGCCUUUGAUCAGGGGUGAUGGGCGGAUCAGAGCACACCUCUAGUUCCCUUGUUCAGCUUCACAUUUUCGACAGAAACUAACAAGGGGACUAACUCUUGUCCUUUUAUAAUUUUUCCCUUUUUCAUGGUUAUGGCAAAUCUUACUGCUGGAAUUGUUUUUUCGAUAAUGAAGAAAAUCAAAGAAUGAAAUUUAUUUACGAAGCAGAAUUUUUUCACUAUAACUUUUUUAUUAUUUAAUGAAGUUAACUAGAAAACUUCGAUAUAAAUUGACAAUUGACUGUACAGGCCCAUAGAAGAGAUAUUGGUCUUGUCUUAUGUGGCCUUUAAUUACGGUACCAGUUUCUUUUACUUGGUUCUAUAAUAUGGCUAAUUGUAUUUGAUUGAUUCAGCUUUGCUUUUUUACUGAAAUGAGUUGAACGCAGAGCUAAAUUAAAUGUGUCUUGUCACUACAAAAAGUAAUAAAAACACAAAGAACUU